GUGGGUGAAUUCAACGCACCCACGCGUUGACCUCAGCCCGAGCCAGCAGCAAGGGAGCAGCAGGAGCUGGCCAAGGGAUGGUGGAAAAGGUUUGAAUAAAUAUCACUCGGCGGCCAAAUCGAUCUCAUCCUCCUCAGUUCAUUCCCCUUUGCCCGAGCUGCCUUCACCGGCGAAAUUCGUCGCUAUUAAGCCAUCUCUCGUCGAUUACUUGCAACCACACCACCACCAGCAAGCCACGAACCUAUUUGAGCAAACUCCAGUUCGAGCCAUCCCUUGUCGCCGCCGGUCACCGUGCCCCUAUUUCUGUCCGCCGUACGGAAGAGGAAAGUCGUCCAAGCCGAGCCCGUCAAGCCGACGUCGGAGGAUUCAGAAAAGGA